rnacentral:tRNA from 1 species
AUGCCCGUAGCUCAAUUUGGCAGAGCAACUGUUUCCAAAGCAGGCGGUUGCAGGUUCGAGUCCUGCCGGGCGUGC